rnacentral:rRNA from 1 species
UACGGGGGGGGCGAGCGUUGUUCGGAAUUACUGGGCGUAAAGGGCGCGUAGGCGGUCUCGGAAGUUCUGGGUGAAAGUCCCCGGCUCAACCGGGGGAGGUCCCAGGAAACCACGGGGCUGGAGUGCUGGAGAGGGAAGUGGAAUUCCCGGUGGAGCGGUGAAAUGCGUAGAGAUCGGGAGGAACACCGGAGGCGAAGGCGGCUUCCUGGACAGACACUGACGCUGAGGCGCGAAAGCCAGGGGAGCGAACGGGAUUAGAUACC